CCAACGGCCCUCUUCGGGGCCACAACUAUCCAAUAAUCCAAAAUUU
rfam:Caenorhabditis brenneri strain PB2801 C_brenneri-6.0.1_Cont128.7, whole genome shotgun sequence.